GAUGAACGCUGGCGGCGUGCCUAACACAUGCAAGUCGAACGAAGCACCUCGCCCGAUGAAGAGGAGAGCUUGCUCAAAUCGGAAUCAAUUGAGGUGACUUAGUGGCGGACGGGUGAGUAACGCGUGGGUAACCUGCCGUAUACAGGGGGAUAACAGUUAGAAAUGACUGCUAAUACCGCAUAAGCGCACGGUAUCGCAUGAUACAGUGUGAAAAGCCGAGACGGUAUACGAUGGACCCGCGUCUGAUUAGCCAGUUGGCAGGGUAACGGCCUACCAAAGCAACGAUCAGUAGCCGGCCUGAGAGGGUGAACGGCCACAUUGGGACUGAGACACGGCCCAAACUCCUACGGGAGGCAGCAGUGGGGGAUAUUGCACAAUGGGGGAAACCCUGAUGCAGCGACGCCGCGUGAGCGAAGAAGUAUUUCGCGUAUGUAAAGCUCUAUCAGCAGCGAAGAAAAUGACGGUA
rnacentral:rRNA from 1 species